rnacentral:rRNA from 1 species
CCUACGGGGGGCAGCAGUGAGGAAUAUUGGUCAAUGGACGAGAGUCUGAACCAGCCAAGUAGCGUGAAGGAUGACUGCCCUAUGGGUUGUAAACUUCUUUUAUAUGGGAAUCAAACGUUCCACGUGUGGGAUUUUGUAUGUACCAUAUGAAUAAGGAUCGGCUAACUCCGGGCCAGCAGCCGCGGUAAUACGGAGGAUCCGAGCGUUAUGCGGAUUUAUUGGGUUUAAAGGGAGCGUAGGUGGAUUGUUAAGUCAGUUGUGAAAGUUUGCGGCUCAACCGUAAAAUUGCAGUUGAAACUGGCAGUCUUGAGUGCAGUAGAGGUGGGCGGAAUUCGUGGUGUAGCGGUGAAAUGCGUAGAUAUCACGAAGAACUCCGAUUGCGAAGGCAGUUCACUGGACUGCAACUGACACUGAGGCUCGAAAGUGUGGGUAUCAAACAGGAUUAGAUACCCGGGUAGUC